rnacentral:tRNA from 1 species
GUUAAAAUAAUUUAAAUUAAAAUAUUGGUUUUGUAAACCAAAAUUGAAUUCUCUUUUAACA